rnacentral:rRNA from 1 species
AACGUAGGGGGACAAGCGUUAUCCGGAUUUACUGGGCGUAAAGCGCACGUAGGCAGUUUGAUAAGUUGGACGUGAAAGCUCCUGGCUUAACUGGGAGAGGUCGUACAAAACUGUCAGACUGGAGUCUGGAAGAGGAGAGCGGAAUCCCCCGGUGUAGUGGUGGAAUGCGUAGAUAUCGGGAGGAACACCAGUGGCGAAAGCGGCUCUCUGGGCCGAUACUGACGCUGAGGAGCGAAAGCGUGGGGAGCAAACAGG